AUUGAACGCUGGCGGCAGGCCUAACACAUGCAAGUCGAACGAGUGGCGGACGGGUGAGCGAGGUCUGGAAAACUGCCUGAUCGAGGGGGAUAACUACUAGAACAGGUAGCUAAUAGCGCAUAACACCAUCUGGGCCCAGAUGGGAUGAGCUGGUUGGUGGGGUAUCGGCUCACCAAGGCGACGAUCCCUAGCUGGUCUGAGAGGAUGACCGGCCACACUGGAACUGAGACACGGUCCAGACUCCUACGGGAGGCAGCAGUGGGGAAUAUUGCACAAUGGGCGCAAGCCUGAUGCAGCCAUGCCGCGUGUAUGAAGAAGGCCUUCGGGUUGUAAAGUACUUUCAGCGGGGAGGCGUUACCCGCAGAAGAAGCACCGGCUAACUCCGUGCCAGCAGCCGCGGUAAUAC
rnacentral:rRNA from 1 species